AGUCCAUCCUAGAGCACCUCCAACAACAUGAGUCGCUGGCUGUCUUGUGGGAGCUGGUGUUGGUGCUGAUCUCGGUGUUGGUGUUGGUGCUGAUGCUGGUGCUGGCGUAGGUGUUGUUGCUGGUUCUGGUGCUGGUGCUGGUGCCGGUGUCGGUGUCCGUGCUGGUGCAGGAACCGGAGAGGGAGUACUACCGCUGGGCUGAGGGGCCGGAGAAGAAGGUUGAGGAGCAGGAGAAGAUCCCCUGG
rnacentral:lncRNA from 1 species